rnacentral:rRNA from 1 species
UACGAAGGGGGCGAGCGUUGUUCGGAUUUACUGGGCGUAAAGGGCGCGCAGGCGGCUCAUUUUGUCAGGCGUGAAAGCCCCGGGCUUAACCUGGGAACUGCGUUUGAUACGGAUGGGCUAGAGUUCGGGAGAGGAGAGUGGAAUUCCCAGUGUAGAGGUGAAAUUCGUAGAUAUUGGGAAGAACACCGGUGGCGAAGGCGGCUCUCUGGACCGAUACUGACGCUGAGGCGCGAAAGCCAGGGGAGCAAACGGG